UACGUAGGGUGCAAGCGUUAAUCGGAAUUACUGGGCGUAAAGCGUGCGCAGGCGGUUGUGCAAGGCAGGUGUGAAAUCCCCGGGCUUAACCUGGGAACUGCACUUGUGACUGCACAGCUGGAGUACGGCAGAGGGGGAUGGAAUUCCGCGUGUAGCAGUGAAAUGCGUAGAUAUGCGGAGGAACACCAGUGGCGAAGGCGGUGUUCUGGGUCAGUACUGACGCUGAGGCGCGAAAGCGUGGGGAGCGAACAGG
rnacentral:rRNA from 1 species